rnacentral:miRNA from 1 species
AGUAUUACAGCUCUUUCCAAAG